UCAUCUAUUUGUGUCCGUUGGUUCGUUUAUCGUGGCAUUUUCCUUCGUGGGCAACCACGAGCGUUGCAAGCCCAAGGCUGUGCGGCUGCUUUUCCCUUUACUGGCUGCUUGGUGGUUUCGGCAGUACAUUCCACUUCACGUGAAGUUCCGGUUAAUCCCUGGCUGUGGUAGGUCACUCUUUUAACCUGUGCUUUAUCGUGAUUUAAAUACAGAUGCAUUUAAUAUAUGCCUCUGGUAUUUUAUGCUUCCCGCAGAUUGUCGGCUGACGGCAAGAAAUUGAGGCUGCCUUCCGUCACCAGCUGCUGUUUUGUUUCUACUUAAAGUUCCUUUUUGUUGUAUGUUUGUCCAUUGAUUACUGACCAUUGUUGCACUGCGUGCGUGCUGCCAGCUCAUGGUAACCUGCGGGUGUGCGUGCAGGUGUUGAGGAGUGUCGGUGAGGAUUAUUUUGCUUUCCUUUUAAUGUUUGUAAGUCUCCAUUGUCUGCAUGUUUUGCAGGGGUGGGACGUCUGGUGGUCUCCAGCGGCUUGAUUUGUGUAUUAGUUGAACGUGUGUUUGUUUUCUGGUUGUCCUUUUUGUUGCAGGAGUUGGGUACUGUCAGCAGGGAGGCCUUGGCACUUGGUGGUGGGUAUCCGCAUGUGUGUCUGACUAACUUUGCAGUGUAGGGUCACCCGGGUGUGCAGUGUGUUCACGUGUGGUCCCUUGGACCCCCCCUCCUAGACAGAUUGCCCCCCUCUGGUAAGCCCCUCUCCUGCCUAUGUUUUGUGGUGUCUAUCAUGUCAUUGUGUGUGUGAUGACCAGCGGAGAACUUUUCCCGUAGAUAAAAGAAAACCCAUGUAACCUAAUUUAUGCAAUAAAGAAAUAUGUUAUUUUUGUAAUAGAA